rnacentral:lncRNA from 1 species
GCUCCGCAGGGCGCAGCUUUAUACGACCGCAGAGGUUGAACCCUGAACGGUUGGGCAAGUAUGGACACAACAUUCAAGCUGGAUUCAGCUCUAAAUUUGGAUUGUGAUUAAAUAGUUGACACAGCAUAGGUUUCUGACACAGAAUGAAUGUGGUCUAAUGAACUUAAAAAAAAUGUUUGCCUUUGAGCAAUUCACUAUGCUGUUGAAUAUUAAUCCUCUCAAAAAAAUGUUUGAAGAAAUUUUCUUUUUAUUUAUGAAAUCUGAAAUGAAAAAAAUUGACCCUCCAAUUUUUUUUUU